rnacentral:rRNA from 1 species
UACGGGGGGGGCAAGCGUUGUUCGGAAUUACUGGGCGUAAAGGGCUCGUAGGCGGCCAACUAAGUCAGACGUGAAAUCCCCAGGCUCAACCUGGGAACUGCGUCUGAUACUGGAUGGCUUGAAUUCGGGAGAGGGAUGCAGAAUUCCCGGUGUAGAGGUGAAAUUCGUAGAUAUCGGGAGGAAUACCAGUGGCGAAGGCGGCGACCUGGGUAGAUACUGACGCUGAGGUGCGAAAGCGUGGGGAGCAAACAGG